UCUUCAAGAAGAGAAUCGGAAUCCAAAGCUCGGUCUUCACUCACAGGCCACAGCUCACAAGAAACAAAGAGUCAAAGCUCCACAAGACCACCGAACUGACCGAAGUGAUUCUUCCUUCGUUUUCAUUUCUUCAAAGAAUCAAAAUCACAAGUGAGAGUUCUCCAAAGUUCGAAGGCCGGUCGAAGCACUUAGUUUGGUUACCCUUUGAUUUCUCUCAUGGCCAACCACUUCACCAAAGACCAACAAUUUUCGGACUCUUCGUGCCUCCACAGACAGCCUCACACUUCGAAUUUUCCAAUUGCAACUUUCAAUCUUGGUCUCCAAAAUCAGAGGCAAGAUGUCAGAUACAAACAAUGAAGACAUUGUUAUUACAAUCACAGAUGUUGAAGCAACAAAAACUGCAGUUGAACAAGAACCUGAAGGAGAAGAAGCAAAUAAAGGUGAAAAGAGGAAAAGAGAAGUAAAGGUGAGGUCCAAAGUUUGGACCCAUUUCACCAAGAUUCCACCAAAGGAGGAGGAAUGUGCUUGCAAUUAUUGCAAGAAAGUUUUCUCCUGCCGUAGUAAAGGAGGAACAACUCAUUUGCAUCGACAUAUAUUUGAGGGCAUAUGUGUAGCCUACAAAAGAGCCAUGGGUGGACAAUUGUCAAAGGGCAAAUGCUUCUUACUUUCCCCAAAGGAUAUAACUUCACAAAACGAAAAAACUACAGCAACACUUCUUUCGCAGCCAAGAAGAACUACAUGGAUGAUUUUUAUAGCCUUGACAAGGAGGAAGAUAGCACUUGUAGCAAGACAGAGUUGGACUCUUAUUUGGAGGAAAAGAUCUAUCCAAGCAAGGUCGAUGAAGAAGAAUUAUUUGAUGUAUUGGAUUAUUGGAGAACUGAUGCUUCCAAGUUUCCAGUAUUAUCCAUGAUGGCAAGAGACAUUUUAGCUAUUCCUAUUUCUUCAGUUGCAUUUGAGAGUGCUUUCAGUACAGGGAGACGUGUUUUGAACAAGUUUCGUAGCUCAUUGUUGCCCUCCAUUGUUGAAGUAUUAAUUUGUGCUCAAGAUUAGAUUACAGAUGCACCUAAGGAGAUUGAUUUUGAACAAGAAUUUGAUCCUGAUUUUACAGUUUCUUCUCAGUCCAAGAGUUAAAAUCAACUCCUCUACCAGCUUUUUUGAGAGCCAAUAUUGGUAAUGCAUAUCUGAAACUCUAACUUUGUUUAUUAGUUGAUUAAAUUUUUGUGUUGACAUAAUAUUGAUUGAUUUCUUUUUAUGUUGGCAUGUUUGAAUUCAAGUCACAAGGUUAUGAAAAAGUUCUAAUAUUUGAAAAUAUAUUGGUGUAUGACUAUAUGUUUUAUUAUUAUUUUUAAUGUACUUUGAACGAAUCAGACAUAAAUAUUAUUGGAAAAAAUUCUUGAUUUAUGUA